GAGAGAGAGAGAGAGAGUGUGACUGAUUACGCAACCCUUACUCCACCGUUGUUGCCACCUCUUUCUAUAGUUAAACACAAAAGCAAAAUCAAAAUCAAAAGCCCCAUUAGUAUGUCGAACCAUCGUCGAAGUCAAAAUUCAGAAUCGAAGAGAAAGACAAGACAAUGAAUCGUCCAAAAGACUAAAUCCGGAAGCUCUACAUCUGCCCAAUGCCACCUCUACAUAAGAGGGCUUCAAAUCGGUAUUGGGACAUCGAUCAGAAUACCAUCCAAGCUCAUGAAGAAUCUAUGAUUAGAACAAAGAAGCUUCCAGUGCUCAAGUUAAUGGGAGAUAGGUUGUAAAUGGUAGAUCACAAGGGAAACAGUUGAUUACGAAGGGAAGUCCGACUUUCAAAAGGAAGAAACUGUACGUUGAGAUAAACAUGAGCAGACGUAUUUUAUAGGAAUUGAAAUUUUCGGUGUUAGUGUUAUUUCUGUUGCCAUUUCUGCAGAAACGUGAAGUUCAAGGUUCAAGUUCAAGUUGUGAGAAAAUGGCGUGUCAAGCUUAAGGAAACCUCGGGAGUCCACCAUUUUGUCAGCCGUUUGGAGUGCCUCCGUGAUGGGGGCGAUCUUGGACUCAUGCGGAGCCAAGUUGUGUCAACUUUGUGAAUCAAGAUGCUUUGUUUGGUUUACUUUGUUUAGUUCUUUUGUUUUGGAACUGGUUAAGUAUGGAUACUUUGUACAUGUGUAGAAGAUACUAUGAUGUAUUUUGUAUUUGCAUCUAUAAGAAUGUUGAAGUUUAAAUUUCAUACGAACUUUCAUGUAUGCACUGUUCGAUGGACAUGUUUAUAUUUAAUAUUGUUUCCGCAAGGCCCCAUUAUUACUAUUAAUUGUUAGUUUUGUCUUUGAGGCCAGAGGUAAUCUGGGAUUACUGGCCGGUCACGACCUAAACCUCUGGGGUAGGGUUCGGGUUUGGGUCGUGAGGGUUCGGGUUUGGGUCGUGACACUAUUUAUCUCUAAUACUAUCGUAUGCUUUAUAGUUUGAUUUUUAUGUCUUUACAAAUAAAUGAUUUGUACAUCCCAUGCUUCAUACUAUUCCAUGCUUGAUAGAUUGAUUUGUACAUCCCAGCUCAUCAUAUUACUUCAUCUCAUAGGUUGACAAAUCAACCUUGUCAUCAUCCUCUUUCUCUCUUAUGUCCCUCUCCUCCAUGAACUGAUGCAUCUGAUCAUUUGUGCUAUAGUCCUCCUCCAUUUGCAUAUGCUUCUUACAGAUACAAGCUUCUUUAAUUGUUUGGACUACAACACUUUGUUCUUUACCUACCCUUACUGGGUAAAUCAUCCCCUUGCACUCUAUAUUUAUCACUUUAUUGAUUGGCUCCAUGCACUUCGUGGCAAUCUUUAUCUUUCUACAGGUAAAGGAAUGUGACUAGUCCAAGUCUCCCUUAACACAAAUGAUUUCACCCCAUAGACUACUAAUUUUAUUCAAAUUGGUUCUAUUCCAUAGAUUCAAAGGAAUGCCAUAGCAGCUAAUCCAAACACAUCUUUGUUGUUCCAGCACCAGCCCUAGUUCCCACAUAACUACUUCACACUACUCCCCAAUUAUUUCCAUUACAUCCUUCACCUUUAAGUUCAUCUCCUCCUUUGACUUAAAUGACAAUAUCAUCUCACGACCACCACCCUUUCUUAUAACUAUUUCUUUCAUUCCUAUUUCUUUAAGCUCUAUCUUCAGUUAAUAUCAACAUACUUAGCUUUCCUUCAAAGUAUCACACUCUCAUACUUCCAUCCAUUGCCUAUUUCCUCAGCCUUUAUUGGAACAACUCCUCCUACAGUAAUGUUCUAUCUCCGUAUAAGAUCUUUGUCCCAUGUACGGAUUCAUCUCAUUUCUUUCUUUAAUUUGUUGAGACCUUUGCACAAAUUGUCUCAUUGUUUGUGGCUUUAGUGGACCUUUUGCUUGCGUCUCCCUUGCAAAAUCAGCACUCUUUAGGUGAUAACCUGACUCCAUAGUGUGCUUUUAUUCUUUAAUUAUCCAUGUGAUUAUGUGUUUGAUAUGAAAUUGCAUGCUUAGUUGUGUGAAUGAUAUGAUUUGUGAAUUUCUAUCUAUUGAGUGUAGGAAAAUCUGUUGAAAUAAGAGAUUUGUGCAGAAAAUUGAGGUUCUUAGAGAUGUCAGAAACCAAAACUGACUUGAUAUUUGUGAUCAUCAUGAUUUCUAAAGCCUAACAUGAAGUUUUGUAAAAAUUUGAUUCAUAAUGAAUUAAAUGCAUUUAAUUAAGCUAAGGAGUAAAUAAGAACUAACUAACCUAAAUUUUGAACUUAACUUAAGAUAGAUAUAGAUGAAGCCUUAGAGAACUGAGAGUUAGACUAAAAAAUAUCUUGUUGAGUGUUCUAGAGAGGGAGAACAAGAUGAGAAAGGGAGAAGAUCAAGUCAAGGCUUGAAAGCAUGGGAAUUUGAAGGGGAUUAGCUCAAGGUCGCCUGCAGGAAGGACCAUUGUAAGGCCAUUAUCACUGUGACCAGCAGCAUGGAGCCCAAUCGUAGAGUCUGCACCAGGAGUUAUUUUGUGAACCUGAUUGGUCAAGUCUCCAAGAUGGAGCCUCUGUCUUUUUGUCUUUUGACUCAUUUUUGAUAAGACUUUGUGUUAACUUUAUCGUUAUGGUCUUGGGAUAUGAAAUCUGUAUGUAUAGAGAAGUUCUUUGGUACAUAAACUUUUGCAUGGACAUGUAAAUAUGUGUGAUGCGCUAUGAUAUAAGCAAUGUAUUUUUUGAUCACAUUGGCACAGCGCAAUGAACUUCUUUGUAUGUGA